AUUGAACGCUGGCGGCAGGCCUAACACAUGCAAGUCGAAUGGUAACAGGAAACAGCUUGCUGUUUCGCUGACGAGUGGCGGACGGGAGAGUAAUGUCGGGGAAACUGCCUGAUGGAGGGGGUAAACUACUGGAAACGGUAGCUAAAACCGCAUAACGUUGAAAGACCAAAGAGGGGGACCUUCGGGCCUUUUGCCUUUAGAUGUUCCCAGAUGGGAUUAGCUAGUAGGUGGGGUAACGGCUCACCUAGGCGACGAUCCCUAGCUGAUCUGAGAGGGUGACCAGCCACACUGGAACUGAGACACGGUCCAGACUCCUACGGGAGGCAGCAGUGGGGAAUAUUGCGCAAUGGGCGCAAGCCUGAUGCAGCCAUGCCGCGUGUAUGAAGAAGGCCUUCGGGUUGUAAAGUACUUUCAGCGGGGAGGAAGGGAGUAAAGUUAAUACCUUUGCUCAUUGACGUUACCCGCAGAAGAAGCACCGGCUAACUCCGUG
rnacentral:rRNA from 1 species